GACGAACGCUGGCGGCGUGCUUAGCACAUGCAAGUCGAACGGUGAAGGGACCAGCUUGCUGGUUCUGGAUGAGUGGCGAACGGGUGAGUAACACGUGAGUAACCUGCCCCCUUCUUCUGGAUAACCGCAUGAAAGUGUGGCUAAUACGGGAUAUUCUGGGUCUGUCGCAUGGCGGGCCCGGGAAAGAUAUUGCUUCGGUGGGGGAUGGGCUCGCGGCCUAUCAGCUUGUUGGUGGGGUGAUGGCCUACCAAGGCGGUGACGGGUAGCCGGCCUGAGAGGGUGGACGGUCACACUGGGACUGAGACACGGCCCAGACUCCUACGGGAGGCAGCAGUGGGGAAUAUUGCACAAUGGGCGCAAGCCUGAUGCAGCGACGCCGCGUGAGGGAUGGAGGCCUUCGGGUUGUAAACCUCUUUCGCCAGUGAAGCAGGCCUGCUCCUUGUGGGUGGGUUGACGGUAGCUGGAUAAGAAGCGCCGGCUAACUACGUG
rnacentral:rRNA from 1 species